GAAGUAGCAAUACUUAGUGGCAGACGGGUGAGUAACAUGUGCGUAUCUGCCCUUUGGCCUGGAAUAACACGAGGAAACUUGUGCUAAUACCGGAUAAGUCUUUACGGAGAAAGCUUUAUGCACCAUUGGAUGAGCCCGCACUUGAUUAGUUAGUUGGUAGGGUAAUGGCCUACCAAGACUGUGAUCAAUAGCUGAUUUGAGAGGAUGAUCAGCCACAUUGGGACUGAGACACGGCCCAAACUCCUACGGGAGGCAGCAGUGGGGAAUCUUGCACAAUGGAGGAAACUCUGAUGCAGCGAUGCCGCGUGAGUGAAGAAGGCCUUUGGGUUGUAAAGCUCUUUCGUCGGGGAAGAAAAUGACUGUACCCGAAUAAGAAGGUCCGGCUAACUUCGUGCCAGCAGCCGCGGUAAUACGAAGGGACCUAGCGUAGUUCGGAAUUACUGGGCUUAAAGAGUUCGUAGGUGGUUGAAAAAGUUGGUGGUGAAAUCCCAGAGCUUAACUCUGGAACUGCCAUCAAAACUUUUCAGCUAGAGUAUGAUAGAGGAAAGCAGAAUUUCUAGUGUAGAGGUGAAAUUCGUAGAUAUUAGAAAGAAUACCGAUUGCGAAGGCAGCUUUCUGGAUCAUUACUGACACUGAGGAACGAAAGCAUGGGUAGCGAAGAGGAUUAGAUACCCUCGUAGUCCAUGCCGUAAACGAUGUGUGUUAGACGUUGGAAAUUUAUUUUCAGUGUCGCAGCGAAAGCGAUAAACACACCGCCUGGGGAGUACGACCGCAAGGUUAAAACUCAAAUGAAUUGACGGGGACCCGCACAAGUAGUGGAGCA
rnacentral:rRNA from 1 species